GAUGAACGCUGGCGGCGUGCCUAACACAUGCAAGUCGAACGGAAAGACACUGAGUUUGUGCGGUGCUCGAGUGGGGAACGGGGGAGUAACACGUGUGUAUCGUGCCCUUGUCUUUCGGAUAAAAUCACGAAACUGAGGCUAAUAUCGGAUAGGAGCUCCUGCAGCGUGGUGGGCAUUGGAAAGUUUCGGCUGUUGGGGAUGGACUUGCGGAGUAUUAGCUAGUUGGUGGGGUAGCGGCCUACCAAGGCUUUGAAGGGUAGGCGGCCUGAUAGGGUGAUCGGCCACACUGGAGCUGAGACACGGUCCAGACUCCUACGGGAGGCACCAGUCGCGAAUAGUGGGCAAUGGGCGGAAGCCUGACGCAGCGAGCCCGCGUGUGUGACGAAGGCCUUCGGUUCGUAAAGCCCUCUUUUUGGGUAAGAACAGCUGUCGCCUGAUACGUAGCGGUAUUGACGGUACCGAAUCAAUAAGCACCGGCUAACUACGUG
rnacentral:rRNA from 1 species